UGGGGAAUUUUGCACAAUGGGGGAAACCCUGAUGCAGCGACGUCGCGUGAUUUAGAAGGCCUUCGGGUUGUAAAAAUCUUUUCUAUGGGAAGAAAAUGACAGUACCAUAGGAAUAAGGACCGGCUAAUUACGUGCCAGCAGCCGCGGUAAUACGUAAGGUCCGAGCGUUGUCCGGAAUCAUUGGGCGUAAAGGGUACGUAGGCGGGUAAGCAAGUUAGAAGUGAAAUCCUAUAGCUCAACUAUAGUAAGCUUUUAAAACUGCUCAUCUUGAGGUAUGGAAGGGAAAGUGGAAUUCCUAGUGUAGCGGUGAAAUGCGCAGAUAUUAGGAGGAAUACCGGUGGCGAAGGCGACUUUCUGGCCAUAACCUGACGCUGAGGUACGAAAGCGUGGGUAGCAAACAGG
rnacentral:rRNA from 1 species